GGGCUCAUGGCCUAAUGGUAAGGCGUCAGAUUUCGGUCUAUCCUUCAGCCCACUAAUGCCCUGAAGGACCUCGUUUCUCUGAAGAUUGCAGGUUCGAUCCCUGCUGAGCUCG